CCGCUCACGCCCGGUCGUAC
rnacentral:sRNA from 1 species